GAAAUAGUUUCUUAGGACAGUGCUACGCACGACUCAAGCAGAUAGUGUUAACAUUGUUGUAGCCAUUUAUCCAACAAUCUAAGAAACUAUGGCAUCUGACAAUGUUAGCACCCCGCAGCCUUCAUCAGCAACUGUUGCAGUGGCACUACCAUUCGCCAAGCCCUUUCCAGAUGUAUCCAAAAUUGAAAUUUUCGCCAAUGAAAAUUUUAAAAGAUGGCAAGAACGUGUGCACUCUCUACUUGAC
rnacentral:lncRNA from 1 species